rnacentral:rRNA from 1 species
GCAAGUCGAACGAGAACGGAAUCUAGCUUGCUAGAUUUGUCAGCUAAGUGGCGCACGGGUGAGUAAUAUAUAGUUAAUCUGCCCCAAAGAAGAGAAUAAUUGUUGGAAACGACUUGUAAUGCUCUAUAUGCCUUUAUCACAGAAGUGAGCAAGGGAAAUAUUUAUAGCUUUGGGAUGAGACUGUACGGUAUCAGAUAGUUGGUGAGGUAAUGGCUCACCAAGUCAAUGACGCCUAACUGGUUUGAGAGGAUGAUC